rnacentral:rRNA from 1 species
GACAGAGGGGGCAAGCGUUGCUCGGAAUUACUGGGCGUAAAGGGCGCGUAGGCGGGAUGGCAAGUCGGUCGUGAAAUCCCUCGGCUCAACCGAGGAACGUCGAUCGAUACUGCUGUUCUUGAGGAUUGCAGAGGAGACUGGAAUUCCCGGUGUAGCGGUGAAAUGUGUAGAGAUCGGGAGGAACACCGGUGGCGAAGGCGGGUCGCUGGGCAAUUCCUGACGCUGAGGCGCGAAAGCGUGGGGAGCAAACGGG